CUGCCCAAUCAGGCGCACAGCCGGAGGAGAGAGGGCGGGAUCCGGGAUCUGGCGCGGCUUUUGCUCCAGCCCGAGCUCGGUCAGGGCCUCACCGCCUGCUUCCACCCCAUCAGGGAGGCCCCGGUGAUUCUGCCACAGCCUCGGCCUCCGUCGCUCCGUGAGCUGCGGGCAUCGGAUGAUUCGUAGCUAAGACUCCGCGACACCCUGAAGCCCAGAAAUGGUGUUGCUCUCUCUAACUCAGACCGGGUCACCUGUUUGGAGCAAAGAAAAGAGCCCUAGUGGAAGACAUGUGAGACAGUAACUGAAAGCCCAGAAUUGUGAAGGAAGAAAAAGAUAAUAUCCUUGAAGACAAAGUCCAUUCUAGCAAGAUGGUGCAAGGACCUGCCCAAAAAAAAAAAAAAAAGUGGUCCAGCCUGGCUCAAAUUAGACAUGAAAGGAGCCUUUACAUUGAGAAGCUACAGGUCCCUGGAAAGCUGGGUAUCCACAGGCAGAUGCAGUGAGAGUUGGGAUGGGAGGAGGGUUGUGAUGUCCUCUGAGAGGGUGUAAUUUUUAUUGUCAUGAGGCUGUUUCUAGAUAUCAUCAAGUAAAAAAUAUUGAUAUAGGAAAGAAGUGACUUUAUUCUAAGGAGUAUUGCAAUGGAAAAAGCACAAAGCAUAAGACCUGCAAGCAUGUCCAAAAUGAGGCAGAUAAGGGCUGGUUUCUCAUAUGAAGAGCAAACAAGAUUAGAAAGAAGGUGGGAGAGAGGAGAGAAAGGAGAAUGUUUCACCCUGAAGUCAGCCUGUUUUUGGGAAGGGAAGGAAGAGGGGUUGUAUGCUGGCUGAGACUGAAGGUGGAGCCUGAGGGAAGGAGAGAAACUUGAGCAGUUUAGCUAACAAGUAUUCUGCUCUGAACACUGAAGACACAAUUAUUUAAUUGUUUAUGAGGGAAAAAUGAGAAUGUAGAGCCUGUGAAUUUGUGAUAUCUAAAGAGGGAGCAUCAUCAAAGUCAUAAUGAAAAGGGUAUUUCUUUACAGUAAGCUUUUCUUGCAGAGAAAAGCUUACUGUAAGG